rnacentral:rRNA from 1 species
UACGGAGGGGGCUAGCGUUGUUCGGAAUUACUGGGCGUAAAGCGCGCGUAGGCGGAUUGUUAAGUCGGGGUGAAAUCCUGAGGCUCAACCUCAGAACUGCCUUCGAUACUGGCAAUCUCGAGUCCGGAAGAGGUUGGUGGAACAGCUAGUGUAGAGGUGAAAUUCGUAGAUAUUAGCUAGAACACCAGUGGCGAAGGCGGCCAACUGG